GGUCUGGUGGUCUAGUGGUAUGAUUCUCGCUUAGGGCACACCCUUCAAGCACAUCUAAGCAUGCGAGAGGUCCCGGGUUCGACUCCCGGCCAGACCC